AGUCAUGGUGUUCGGUCUUAGUUU
rnacentral:miRNA from 1 species